AGCGGUGUGGCUCAGUGGAAAGAGCCUGGGCUUGGGAGCCAGAGGUCAUGGGUUCGUAUCCCAGCUCUGCCA
rnacentral:tRNA from 1 species